GACGAACGCUGGCGGCGUGGAUUAGGCAUGCAAGUCGAACGGUAUCAUCCUUUCGGGGGUGAGAGAGUGGCGAACUGGUGAGUAACACGUAGGUUAUCUACCCUCAAGACGGGGACAACCCAGGGAAACUUGGGCUAAUACCGGAUGUGAGCAACUUUUAGUUGUUUGAAAGGUGGCGUAAGCUGUCGCUUGGGGAUGAGCCUGCGUCCUAUUAGUUAGUUGGUGAGGUAACGGCUCACCUAGGCAAUGAUAGGUAGGCGGCCUUAACGGGUGGUCGCCCACACUGGGAUUGAGAUACGGCCCAGACUCCUACGGGAGGCAGCAGUCGAGAAUAGUCUACAAUGGUCGGAAGACUGAUAGUGCGACGCCGCGUGAACGAUGAAUCCCUUCGGGGUUAAAGUUCUUUUAUAUGUGAGCAGUGCUUCUUAUAUUAACAGUAUGGGGAAGAGAUAUAGCAUAUGAAUAGCAACGGCUAACUCCGUGCCAGCAGCCGGGUAA
rnacentral:rRNA from 1 species